GGGGAUAUGGCGAAAUUGGUAGACGCUACGGACUUAAGGGUUCAAGUCCCUCUAUCCCCA
rnacentral:tRNA from 2 species